rnacentral:rRNA from 1 species
UGACUGACCGAUAGUGAACCAGUACCGUGAGGGAAAGGCGAAAAGAACCCCGGCGAGGGGAGUGAAAAAGAACCUGAAACCGUGUACGUACAAGCAGUGGGAGCCCCACCACUAAGCCAGUGGUGAAGUCCACAUACGCAUCCUUUGCUGAGGAUACGGUUAACGGAGCGAAAGCGACGUUCAACCGCAAAAAAAGAAGCAGAGGGGGCUUAGUGGUGGGGUGACUGCGUACCUUUUGUAUAAUGGGUCAGCGAC